rnacentral:lncRNA from 1 species
AGCCAUCUUCUCUCCAUUUGUAGCUUCACCCAUGCCAGAAAGUUGAGCAGCAGCCUCAAGCCUUCCCGGGGAAUAACACCUGGAGACUGGCAACGCCGUAAGCGCACCGAGCUUCAGCAGGAAAGUUUAUUUGCAAAGCAAAAAUCUUCAGCCGCAACUUUCAGGGCUGUCUCACGCUCCCCCCUUCCCCCAGCCAAUAAACUUAUAAUUGAAUUUUUUGCAGAAAACUCUUAUCUUAUCUGUGAGCAUGAAGCUGCUGGGUCCAGCCCUUGGACGAGUGUCAUUUCCUGUUUCCAAGAGCGGCACUGGCGUGUCUUGAGAAAUUCCCGAGGAGCAGCGCUGAGCGGCAGCCAGGCGACUACACUGAAGCAUAGGAUGAUGAACUUUUUAUUCGCGGCCGUCCUGGUUCUUCAUUUCUCCCUAGGAAAUGCUGAGAAAGGAGACGAGAUAACAGAGUUUCUAUAUGAGUACGCGUCUCAUUUUGGUGAUUACCUAUAUGCGACUGUAGAAUAUUAUUCCGAGAACGCUACGUUACUACCCACUAUGUAUUCAUAUGAGGAGGAAUACCAGGAGUCUGCAGGAUCGCCCCUGCAAUGCCGCCUCCCUCUCAUUCUUCUCAGCCUCCUGGGUUUCGUGCUAUAAUUCCCCACUUUCCUCUGUAGAAGACACAACGACUCGGAUGAAAAAAACACUGUCAUCCCAUUGGAGCGUGCGUCCCCCAAACGAAGCAGUCCCCUCUGGUUUUAGCACAAUUACAACUUUGUAUACAAAGCUUUCAAUAGAUUGACGGUGCUUGCCCAGAGCCCUAACAGUUGUGCAAACACUGAAGAGCUUUGUCAUGACUAGGUUCUUUCCUACUUCCUAUUAUUCCAUAUUGUAAAUAUGAACCGCUGCCAAUAAAAUUGCUAACAACUAACUCCCGGUCUCA